GACGAACGCUGGCGGCGUGCUUAACACAUGCAAGUCGAACGGUAAGGCCCUUCGGGGUACACGAGUGGCGAACGGGUGAGUAACACGUGGGUGAUCUGCCCUGCACUUCGGGAUAAGCCUGGGAAACUGGGUCUAAUACCGGAUAGGACCACUGCCUGCAUGGGUGGUGGUGGAAAGCUUUUGCGGGGUGGGAUGGGCCCGCGGCCUAUCAGCUUGUUGGUGGGGUGAUGGCCUACCAAGGCGACGACGGGUAGUCGGCCUGAGAGGGUGACCGGACACACUGGGACUGAGAUACGGCCCAGACUCCUACGGGAGGCAGCAGUGGGGAAUAUUGCACAAUGGGCGCAAGCCGGAUGCAGCGACGCCGCGUGAGGGAUGACGGCCUUCGGGUUGUAAACCUCUUUCAGCACCGACGAAGCGCAAGUGACGGUAGGUGCAGAAGAAGGACCGGCCAACUACGUGCCAGCCGCCGCGGUAA
rnacentral:rRNA from 1 species